CGCGAGAUGUACGGGGAGGGCUCGCGCGAGACGUAGCUCCUCCUGCGGGCAGACGUCGGGCGCCGGCACGCGCCGGGCACGCGCCGGCGGCGUGGGGGUCCACGCGCGGGCACCUCCGGGGCUCAGACGACCACACGUCGGGGACUCACCGGAGCUUGGCACUUCCUCGAGGGGACUCGGACAUUCUGACCCCUGAUGACGUAACGUGAUGGCGGUGGCUAGCCCCGUAAGGCCAGCACUCUGGAUGGAGACUGGCAGGACUAGAGAUGCGGAUUGUGGAUUGUUGCUGAAGCGCCUUGACUAGCAGGUGCCACAGGAAAUAAAAAAACAAGAGGCUUUCCUGCUUUCUAACUUGAUUCUAAGGCGAGGGUUCGAGAUAUUUUUCAGAAACUGAGAAGGAACUGAACCUGGACGUUUUGUUUUGUUUUGUUUUGUUUUACCACAUAGUUUCUGCACACAAAUAUUCACACAUUUAUGGAACACCUUUUUUUAAAUCUAUAAUGAAUAAAUUUAUUGUCUUACAAAAA